UACGGGGGGGGCAAGCGUUGUUCGGAAUUACUGGGCGUAAAGCGCGCGUAGGCGGCUUUGUAAGUUAGCGGUGAAAGCCCGGGGCUCAACCCCGGAACUGCCUUUAAGACUGCAUCGCUUGAAUCCAGGAGAGGUGAGUGGAAUUCCGAGUGUAGAGGUGAAAUUCGUAGAUAUUCGGAAGAACACCAGUGGCGAAGGCGGCUCACUGGCCUGGUAUUGACGCUGAGGUGCGAAAGCGUGGGGAGCAAACAGG
rnacentral:rRNA from 1 species